rnacentral:misc_RNA from 1 species
CGUAGGUGAACCUGCGGAAGGAUCAUUGUCGUCGGCCUUUGAAAACACGACCCGCGAACGUGUGACCGAAUGCUGCCGGCGCGGUGUCAUGCCGCGCCGGCCCCCCCCAGCCGUGGCCAUGGAGGCCGCGUGCUGAAUACGGCAUGGGUCCAUGCCAAGGCACACUCGAUGCGGAGGUCGGGGUGACGGCACGUGCAUCGUGCUGCCGCCGGCCGAUGCGUAGGAACAUGUGAUGACUCUCGGCAACGGAUAUCUCGGCUCUCGCAUCGAUGAAGAACGUAGCGAAAUGCGAUACGUGGUGUGAAUUGCAGAAUCCCGUGAACCAUCGAGUCUUUGAACGCAAGUUGCGCCCGAGGGACCAACCCGAGGGCACGCCUGCCUCAUGGGCGUUAGAAGCCCGACCACGCUCGGGCGCUUAACCCCGACGCGGACCCUGGCCCUCCGUGCCGCAGGGUGCGGCGGGCCGAAGCGUGCCUCUGUCCGACGGUGCAGGGAGCGGCGAGUGGUGGGCUUCUUCGCAUGCCGCCCCUUGCCUCCGUCGGUGCCGGGCCAUAUUUUUUGACCCCAAGACGAGGGGCUUGCCGCUGCGGCCAUGGCGCCGCGUGGCAUCCCCGGACCGAUACCCCAGGUCAGGCGGGGCUACCCGCCGAGUUUAAGCAUA